AAACAUAUUCACGUCUGUGAGUGUGGCUAAUUAAAGUUAGUCACUGUUGCUGAUUGUUGGGAAGGUGUAAGGACAACCCUUCUGGGGGUUUUCCUGCAUGACGGGCAUCUCCAAGAGAUGCCC
rnacentral:ncRNA from 1 species